UGCAAGUCGAGCGGAUGAAGGGAGCUUGCUCCUGGAUUCAGCGGCGGACGGGUGAGUAAUGCCUAGGAAUCUGCCUGGUAGUGGGGGAUAACGUCCGGAAACGGGCGCUAAUACCGCAUACGUCCUGAGGGAGAAAGUGGGGGAUCUUCGGACCUCACGCUAUCAGAUGAGCCUAGGUCGGAUUAGCUAGUUGGUGGGGUAAAGGCCUACCAGGGCGACCAUCCGUAACUGGUCUGAGAGGAUGAUCAGUCACACUGGAACUGAGACACGGUCCAGACUCCUACGGGAGGCAGCAUUGGGGAAUAUUGGACAAUGGGCGAAAGCCUGAUCCAGCCAUGCCGCGUGUGUGAAGAAGGUCUUCGGAUUGUAAAGCACUUUAAGUUGGGAGGAAGGGCAGUAAGUUAAUACCUUGCUGUUUUGACGUUACCAACAGAAUAAGCACCGGCUAACUUCGUGCCAGCAACCGCGGUAAUACGAAGGGUGCAAGCGUUAAUCGGAAUUACUGGGCGUAAAGCGCGCGUAGGUGGUUCACCAAGUUGGAUGUGAAAUCCCCGGGCUCAACCUGGGAACUGCAUCCAAAACUACUGAGCUAGAGUACGGUAGAGGGUGGGUGGAAUUUCCUGUGUAG
rnacentral:rRNA from 1 species